AUACUAACCUGGCAGGGGAGUUACCAUGAUCACAGAGGUUGUUUUCCUGUGGAGAGGCUUAUCCAUUGCACUCCAGAUUUGCUGACCCCUGUGAUUUUCCCAAAUGUGGUAAAAAUUAAUGCAUAAUUUGUACUAGUGGAGGACUGCA
rnacentral:snRNA from 1 species